UACGUAGGGGGCAAGCGUUGUCCGGAUUUAUUGGGCGUAAAGAGCGUGUAGGCGGUUUGGUAGGUCCGCUGUGAAAACUCGAGGCUCAACCUCGAGACGCCGGUGGAAACCAUCAGACUAGAGUCCGGAAGAGGAGAGUGGAAUUCCUGGUGUAGCGGUGAAAUGCGUAGAUAUCGGGAGGAACACCAGUGGCGAAGGCGAUCAUCUGGGGUUGUUCUGACACUGAGGAGCGAAAGCUAGGGGAGCAAACGGG
rnacentral:rRNA from 1 species